CAGUACAAACUAUCGAAACAUCUGAAAUUCAAAAAUAAAUUUCAGUCCUCCGACUCCUCCCCGCGCUCUCUCCCCGCUCAUCAUCUCUCUCGCAACUUCGCAUCGUUCGGCGCCUCCAUCUCAUGUGAGUAUCUCUCCUCCGCCUCUCUCUCUCUCUCUCUCUCUCUCUCUCUCUCUCUCUAUUGGUUUUGGCCGACAAUGGUUGAAGUUUACUCGUUAUAUGUGCUGCCACCAUCACCGUUGCAACUCCAGCGCUGCCAUAAACACUACCUGAGACGCCCCUCUCGCACUUCUAAGUAGGCCCCAAGUUGUUCCUCUCCCUCCGCGUACGCUUGCAUGGGCCCUAACCUCUCUUGUGCAAAAAUCAUAGAUUGGUCCACCCCCACCCACCGGCGACACGUUCCAUUGUUUGGCCAAUCAUGCAACUUUUUUACUUGGGUAG